UAGGGAAUCUUCCACAAUGGACGCAAGUCUGAUGGAGCAACGCCGCGUGAGUGAAGAAGGUCUUCGGAUCGUAAAGCUCUGUUGUUGGUGAAGAAGGAUAGAGGCAGUAACUGGUCUUUAUUUGACGGUAAUCAACCAGAAAGUCACGGCUAACUACGUGCCAGCAGCCGCGGUAAUACGUAGGUGGCAAGCGUUGUCCGGAUUUAUUGGGCGUAAAGCGAGCGCAGGCGGAAUGAUAAGUCUGAUGUGAAAGCCCACGGCUCAACCGUGGAACUGCAUCGGAAACUGUCAUUCUUGAGUGCAGAAGAGGAGAGUGGAACUCCAUGUGUAGCGGUGGAAUGCGUAGAUAUAUGGAAGAACACCAGUGGCGAAGGCGGCUCUCUGGUCUGCAACUGACGCUGAGGCUCGAAAGCAUGGGUAGCGAACAGGAUUAGAUACCCUGGUAGUCCAUGCCGUAAACGAUGAGCGCUAGGUGUUGG
rnacentral:rRNA from 1 species